GAUGAACGCUGGCGGCGUGCCUAAUACAUGCAAGUCGAGCGAACAGACGAUGAGCUUGCUCCUCUGACGUUAGCGGCGGACGGGUGAGUAACACGUGGAUAACCUACCUAUAAGACUGGGAUAACUUCGGGAAACCGGAGCUAAUACCGGAUAAUAUAUUGAACCGCAUGGUUCAAUAGUGAAAGACGGUUUUGCUGUCACUUAUAGCUGGAUCCGCGCCGCAUUAGCUAGUUGGUAAGGUAACGGCUUACCAAGGCAACGAUGCGUAGCCGACCCGAGAGGAGGGUCCGCCACACGGGAACUGAGACACGGUCCAGACCCCUAAGGGAGGGAACAGGUGGGAAUAUUUCACAAAGGGCGGAAACCUUGCCGAGCCACACCGCGUUGGGUAAGAAGGGCUUCGGGUUGGAAAACCUUUUUUUUGGGGAAAAAAAGAAGGAGAAUGAAACUCCGCGGUUCUGACGGUAACCAAAUAAGAAGCCCCGGCUAACUUCGUG
rnacentral:rRNA from 1 species